UUGAACGCUGGCGGCAUGCUUUACACAUGCAAGUCGAACGGUAACAGGCCUUCGGGUGCUGACGAGUGGCGAACGGGUGAGUAAUGCAUCGGAACGUGCCCAGAGGUGGGGGAUAACGCAGCGAAAGCUGUGCUAAUACCGCAUGUGAUCUGAGGAUGAAAGCGGGGGACCAAGCAGCAAUGUUUGGCCUCGCGCCUCUGGAGCGGCCGAUGUCAGAUUAGGUAGUUGGUGGGGUAAAGGCCUACCAAGCCGACGAUCUGUAGCUGGUCUGAGAGGACGACCAGCCACACUGGGACUGAGACACGGCCCAGACUCCUACGGGAGGCAGCAGUGGGGAAUUUUGGACAAUGGGCGCAAGCCUGAUCCAGCAAUGCCGCGUGCGGGAAGAAGGCCUUCGGGUUGUAAACCGCUUUUGUACGGAACGAAAAGUCUCUGGCUAAUACCUGGGGCUGAUGACGGUACCGUAAGAAUAAGCACCGGCUAACUACGUG
rnacentral:rRNA from 1 species